GUCUAUGGCCAGGCCACCCUGAACAAGCCCGAUCCUAUCUGAUCCCGGAAGCUAAGCAAGGUCGAGACUGGUUAGUACUUGGAUGGGAGAUCAC
rnacentral:rRNA from 1 species